UUUCAGUAGGGAAGAAGCGAAAGUGACGGUACCUACAAAAGAAGUCCGGCUAACUAUGUGCCAGCAGCCGCGGUAAUACAUAGGGUGCAAGCGUUGUCCGGAAUUAUUGGGCGUAAAGAGCUCGUAGGUUGUUUGUUACGUCGGAUGUGAAAACCUGAGGCUCAACCUCAGGCCUGCAUUCGAUACGGGCAAACUAGAGUUUGGUAGGGGAGACUGGAAUUCCUGGUGUAGCGGUGGAAUGCGCAGAUAUCAGGAGGAACACCAAUGGCGAAGGCAGGUCUCUGGGCCAAUACUGACACUGAGGAGCGAAAGUCUGGGGAACGAACAGGAUUAGAUAACCUGAUA
rnacentral:rRNA from 1 species